UCUCCUUCUUUUCUUUUUCCUUCUUCUUUCUUCCCUCUCCUUCGUUGUUUUUUCUUCUUCGUCCCCAAACUCCAACAGAGAAUUGAAGCCAAGAAGACAAGAUGGAGAUGUUCAUGGGAAGUGGUUACUGGUUUUGAAGGGUGAUGUUUCUAGGUUUGAUUUGAAGAUAAUUCAAUCGAGAAGAAGGGUGAAAUUGCAAUUUGAAACUAGGGUUCGAAGUUAGGGUUUCCUUGAACUGAGAUUUGAAACUGGAAAUGCUUCCGUUGAGAGGAAUCGCAGAUGAGUUUUUUUCUUGAACUGAUUGAAGUAAGAAAUGGAAAUUAGGGUCUCAUGAUUCUGAAUCUAGGGUUCGUUGAGGUGAAUCUGUGGCUGAAUUAGGUGGAACGGUGAUUGAGAUGGAGAAUCAGGAGGAGAUGUUGAUUCUUGUGGUUGCUGUGGUGAAUUCAUGAAAUGGGGUUUCCUUGAAUCCGUGUUAGAAUCAAGAAAUAAAAGAGGACCCUAGUGUACUGCUAUUGAUUCAUGGCUGCAUGUGGAGAAUCAGAAGAACAUAAAGAUGGAGCUUGAUUUAGGGUUUGCCGAUUUGAAGGACGGUUGGUGUCGGUGCUGGAAGAAGUUCAAGGAAGAAAGGAGCGGAAGGUGUUGAUCUUGAAUGGAGUAUGAAGAUUCAGGUGGUGUUGGUCCUCAGCAGCUGGAGUUACCGGGAGUAUGAAUUAUAGCUGUAUGUUUAGGAAUGAUUGCAGAGAAAGCAUGGAAGAGCUGGAGCAAUGGCUAGGCUUGAAGUGCUGAGGUAAUGGAAUUGAACUGGCAAGCAGUGAAGAUUUGGCGGUGUUGUUUGUGGAGAUUUGCCUUGUUGUUGUCUUCAGUUGGAGGAAGUUUUAUUGGCAGAAGAUGAUGAAGUUGAGUUGAGAAGAUAGACAUGAAAUGGUAAGUUGCAGAUUGCAGUGCAGUUUUGGUGUUGGGAUGUUUGAACUGGAAUGGCUUGAACUCUGUUGAAAAAUGCAACUGUGCAGUGAAUGAAACUUACCAUGGGAAAUGAGUAAGUACUACAACUAAAGAGCCGCGAUAGGGUGCACUUGCGUGCACUGCAGAUAGCCUAAUAAUCGCACCCUUGAGCAAAGAAUCUUUUGGCAAGAGUACCACAUUGAAAUGGUUUCAGGAGGAUUCUGACAGAAGCAUUGUAUGCUCGCAUUAUUCAAAUGUUAGACACUGGGGAUGAGACCAGCAGGAAAUCUCUGAAAGAGGAACUACUGAAGAUUAUAGAGGAGCAAAGUAGUAAGCAGAAUGGUGAGACCAAUGUGAAGGUGAUUGACAAAAAUGGUGGCUUGAGAGUGGAUGAGGAUAAAGUUGAUAGUAGCAAAGAGACUGAUUUAGGCGAUCGCUGUGUAAAAUGGUUUAAGGGUAAGCAGAAAACCAUCAGAAACUCCCGAGAAGAGCCACCACUAAAGAAGAACAAGUUGGAGGAGAAAAAUGGUAAUCAGAAUGAUGAGCCCAACGACAACGAAGGAGUCAGAGUAAAUAAAGUAAUAACCCUCUUUUGUCUGGCGGUUUGAAAGAGUUCCCGGAAGAACGUGCUAGGCUUGCAGAUGGAAAAGAAGUCCAUCAGGUUGAUUAUAUGUCACCUAAACCUUGGUAUCAUGAGAGAAUUGUGAAACCUCUCGGACCUUAUCUUACAUGGUAGUGUGCUAACUGAAGAAGACAGCUGAUGAUAAUGUAGAUUUUUUAAAUAUUCCUCCCUGAAUGUUUCAGAAAAAUUUAAAAGAAAUUCAUAGAAUUGUAAAAAGUCUCCUUAUAUGUUUUGAUUUUUUAGAAAACAAAAGCAAGUAUAAGCUGUAUUAAUAAUGUAAGUAACUUUUGCUAAAGAAUGCAAGUAAUUUUUGCUAAAGAAGCAACUUUGAUGCGAA